UGGGUGUUAACAUAGUAAGUCCCUGUGUC
rnacentral:piRNA from 1 species